AAGCGGCAAGAUGAAGGCGCCACAAGGUAAGGCAUGUUAUGGAAGGACUGAGCUACGCUGCUGGCCAAAGAUUCAACAGCCAGCCCUUUGUCAUCUUCUUGUUCCAAGAAUUCCUCCGCACGGUGCUUGAGAGUCUCGAACAUGAGCUCGGGCUCGUGCUGCAUCGCUCGGAGCACAUCAGCGCAAGACGGGCCAGGGACGGAGCGAGUCAUGGCAAAGCUGUGAGCGCUAUCGCUCUGCACCACGCGCACGACACUUGGUCCACCAAACAGGUUGUGGAGUCCUCCGAGCGCCUCCUCAUAAGCCCCACCCAAAAACAUCCCCAGAUAAUAACCACCACCAUCGCCAUUACUUCCCAAUUCAUGUAGCGGCAAGCUUGAUUCGCCACCAAUGAACUUAUCAACCUUCCCAUCACUGUCACAAGUUAAGUCCGAUAAUAUUCCCCUCACUGCAGGCUUUUCAUCUAAGCGGUGAAUUGGAACAAUCGGAAACAAUUGACCAAAGGCCCAAAAAUCAGGAAUUGAAGUGAAAAUUGACAGAUUCACAUGGUAAGUGCGGACAGGAUCAGCAGCCCCCAUAGCCUUUGAUACAAAGUCACAGAUGCUAUCAACAGCAGCAAGAUGUUCAAUACCCAAGGACCCUUCUUUAAACUGCUCCACACAUCUCUGUUUCAACUGAUCAGAGUAAAGUACACAUGUCUCAUACUCUCCACGAACUGCAGCAGCAGAUAAAUUGCGGUAAUCAGCAAGGGCAUCUUCGUUGAGCGUCUCCGCCAUGGAUUGGAGGCCACCAGAAGACAGAUGUGAAGAAGAAACAUGAGUACUAGAAGCAGACACGGCUUCGAAAAUCAGAAUUGAGUGAUGAGAAACAAUUGCCCUGCCACUUUCGCUGCAGAUCACUGGGUGUUUCACACCCUUACGGUCGCAUACAUAUUGAACCGCCUGAACAACUGCGGAGGCAUAUUC
rnacentral:lncRNA from 1 species